CCUAUGGGUGGCUGCAGUAAGGAAUAUUGGUCAAUGGACGCAAGUCUGAACCAGCCAUGCCGCGUGGAGGAUGAAGGUCCUCUGGAUUGUAAACUUCUUUUAUUUGGGAAGAAACUCCCGAUUUCCAUCGGGAUUGACGGUACCAGAUGAAUAAGCACCGGCUAACUCCGUGCCAGCAGCCGCGGUAAUACGGAGGGUGCAAGCGUUACUCGGAUUCACGGGGGCGUAGGGGGGCAGGUAAGGGCGGGUAGAAAUCUCCGGGCUUAACCCGGAAACUGCCAUUGAUACUAUUUGUCUUGAAUACUCUGGAGGUGAGCGGAAUAUGUCAUGUAGCGGUGAAAUGCUUAGAUAUGACAUAGAACACCCAUUGCGAAGGCAGCUCACUACGGAAAUAUUGACGCUGAGGCACGAAAGCGUGGGGAUCAAACAGGAUUAGAUACCCUGGUAGUC
rnacentral:rRNA from 1 species